AUGAUUGUUUAUUGCCUGACUAUUUGUAGAUUAAUGACAUGCUGUCCUAAAAUGACUGGCAAAAUGGACGUGAGAGGUUUUUUUCCAGCAAUGAAGCCCCUAUUAGAUAAUGUGGCCUCUGAAGCAUCUCACAUCCUGAACCUAUCUGAGACUCUCGGUUGUAGCCAUAAACAUGACAGGCAGGGGGAACACAUUCAUCCGCCUGAGUUCUCAAUCAUGUCAACUCAUGGAAGCCUUAAUUUGGGGAGAACCAGGAGAGACCAGCGGCAAUACCCUAUUUCGGCGAACCGUGCCCCUCUGCUGUCUGAAAUUGAAACCUUGAAGAGGGAGCUGGGUGAUGUCCAGCAGAAACACCAGAGCAUUGUUCAAGAGCUACACCGGUCCAUUUACUUUCCUCAGUGUGGUGGUGACAGUAAUUCAAAACUAAUCCUACAACAGCACCUUAGCCUAGGUGAAGACGGGAUGCAACCCUUUGAGCAGAAACUACAGGUGUCAAAUGGCAAGGUUUUUCACCUGAAUCAAAAUGUCAUAGGCACAGCUGAACGAGAUCUUAGAACAUCUGAAAUAAAAAUAGAGUCACCAAAGUUAGAUUUGAAAAAAGCCUGUGACAAGAUCCAAGCUCUCCACCAGGCUGUAGAAACAUCUAAGAUGAAGAAAGAGGCAGAUCUCAAAACCUUGAGAAUGCAACCUGCUGUUUCUGAGGUAACUUCCUUGCAGAGCAAACUGAGAGCAUCAGACCUGAAAUUCCAGUCCCUGGAACAAAAACUGUUCUAUACAGAACAAAAAGUGGUGUCCUUGCAGGACAGAUUAAUAACUACCGAUGACAAGGCAUUGUACCUGGAGGAAGCUCUCAGGUCUUCAGAGGAAAUGGUGCAAUCCCUAAAUCGAGCCCUGCAGGAAAGUGAAACUCAAACAAGCACAGCCAAACACAAGCUUGAGUUGUUGCAGGAGCAGAACUCAGAACGUCAAAAGACAUUAAAGAACAUGACAGACUCUCUUGGGUCCACGGAGGGACUGUACUGGAAAAGAGUGGCUGAGAUGGAACUUAGUUUAGAGAAUUACAAAAGGCACAUGGACAUUUUGCAAGAUGCAUUGAGCAGGGCUGAGUCCAUGCACAAGGAGGAAAUGAAACAGCUUGCAGAUAAAAUGGAGAAACAGGCCAUACAUCAACAAUACCUUCAAAAUGAAGUUUUGGAUUUAACAAAGGAAUUACUGCAAGAACAAGUACAAGCCAGAAAGGACCUUGUAGGAUCAGUUAAAUGUGAAGAACAUUUACAAAACCCUAUACAAUCAAGGCAUGGUGAUAUGACACGGAGUGAUGACCAGUCUUACGCUAUGGAUAACCUGAGCAAGAGGAGACAGGCUGUGAUAACCAAUGAGCACCUCCUGCAACAUGAUAUGCAGAAGGGCAGACAGACAGAAGGACUGGAGAAGGGGGAGAGGCCUCUACUGGUAUAUCUGAAUAGCUUACACGAAGAGUUUAUGGAACUUAGGGAACAUCUUGUAGUCCUGAGAGACAGUGUGAAAAGAGAAGACCAGAUGAGGUUGGACUGGAUGAAGGUUCUGGAAAAGAUCCAAGAAUGGGAGAGCGGGGCUGGGAAACUGGUAUGA
ensembl:lncRNA